rnacentral:rRNA from 1 species
UACAGAGGGUGCGAGCGUUGUCCGGAAUCACUGGGCGUAAAGGGCGCGUAGGCGGCCUGAUAAGUAGGGGGUGAAAUCUUGCGGCUCAACCGCAAGGCUGCCUUCUAAACUGUCAGGCUGGAGCACGGUAGAGGCAGAUGGAAUUCCCGGUGUAGCGGUGGAAUGCGUAGAGAUCGGGAAGAACACCGGUGGCGAAGGCGGCCUGCUGGGCAGUGGCUGACGCUGAGGCGCGACAGCGUGGGGAGCAAACAGG